GGCUGUUCGCGGCUGUUCGCCAUUUAAAGUGGUACGCGAGCUGGGUUUAGAACGUCGUGAGACAGUUCGGUCCCUAUCUGCCGUGGGCGCUGGAGAACUGAGGGGGGCUGCUCCUAGUACGAGAGGACCGGAGUGGACGCAUCACUGGUGUUCGGGUUGUCAUGCCAAUGGCACUGCCCGGUAGCUAAAUGCGGAAGAGAUAAGUGCUGAAAGCAUCUAAGCACGAAACUUGCCCCGAGAUGAGUUCUCCCUGAGACUUWRAGUCUCCUGAAGGAACGUUGAAGACGACGACGUUGAUAGGCCGGGUGUGUAAGCGCAGCGAUGCGUUGAGCUAACCGGUACUAAUGAACCGUGAGGCUUAACCUU
rnacentral:rRNA from 1 species